GGUGGCUCAGUGGUAGGGUGCUUGCCUUGCAUGCAUGAGGACCUGAGUUCGAUUCCUCAGCACCA
rnacentral:tRNA from 1 species